CAAUAGCUGUGGAACUGUCAAAACUGUUGCAAAAUAUUCAAUCAAUUUGUUAGUUUAAAUAUCAAAUGGUUGAAUAUCAAGAUGAUGGACUUUGUUUCUUUUUAUUUGAGCUAUAGUGAGAGUGAUGGGGAUGAAAAAAUAGUGCGGAGGCAACUAAGAGAUCGGAGCAAUGCUUUGGCACUGCCGAAUACAGCAUUUUUAAAACGAUUUCGUCUAACUAAAUAGGCUUUUGAAUAUGUCCUAAAUAGUAUAUGUUUAACGCAAUCUGACGUCAGAGCAGUGCCUCCAGUGCUACAAUUAGCAACCACGCUCUCGCAUUUGGCUAGUGGUGGAUACCAGCACAGUGUAGGCAGUGACUAUUUGAUUGGGAUUUGUCAAAGCACUGUUUCGAAGCUGACAUUACAUGUGCUUAAAGAAAUGGAAGCGAAGUUGUGCCCGCAGUUUAUACGGUUUACACCAGAGGAUUCCCUUACGUGUAAGGAGUGGUUUGUGCAGCAACAUAAAAUUCCUGGAGAAUUUUUAGUUAUUUGGUGCGUUGAUGGUACCCACAGUGAACGAGCACAUGUACUCCAAUAGAAAAGGCUACCAUAGUAUCAAUGCUUCAAUAUAUGUAUGUACAUAUAUGUAUAUUUGUUAAAUUUUGUGGUGUCAGAUAUGUGAUCAUACUUACAAAAUUUUGGCAAUUAACUGUCAAUACGGUGGUGCAGCCCACGACCCAUUUGUUUGGAAACACUCGGACCAGAGAAGAGUUUUGGAAGAACGAUYUCAGCACAACAGGAAUGAAAAUUCAUAGCUUUUAGGGGAUUCUGGCUACCCAUUGGAACCAUGGUGCAUAACUCCUUACAGAAACGCUUCGAAUGAUACAAGUGAAGCUAUGUUUAAUGAAAUUCAUUCCAAGGCAAGAUGUAUCGUCGAACGAACUAUCGGAAUUUUAAAAGGACGCUGGAGAAUUUUAGGAUAUGGCAGGAGAGGAAGGUAUCAUCCGACAAAAGUGGCAAGAUUUGCUAACGUUUGUGCAGCAUUACACAACAUCUACAUAAAAUUUAAAAUAAAUUAUGAUCGUCAGAAUUGCGAUUCUGACCAAACAACGGAUAUCGACACCGGGGUGGCGAACCGCCUCUAUGUCGUUACCCUUGUAAAUUUCCUUCUAAACCGAAAUACAAAAAUUUUGUUCAUGUAAAUUCAUUAUUUUUUUUUUAUUAGUCCUUUCAUCACGCUUGUUGCUUUUAUCACCUUUCUAAUAUUUUACAUAAAUAAUAUUC